rnacentral:rRNA from 1 species
UACGUAGGGGGCAAGCGUUGUCCGGAAUCAUUGGGCGUAAAGCGCGUGUAGGCGGUUCGGUAAGUCGGCUGUGAAAGUCCAGGGCUCAACCCUGGGAUGCCGGUCGAUACUGCCGGACUAGAGUUCGGAAGAGGCGAGUGGAAUUCCCGGUGUAGCGGUGAAAUGCGCAGAUAUCGGGAGGAACACCAAUGGCGAAGGCAGCUCGCUGGGACGUUACUGACGCUGAGACGCGAAAGCGUGGGUAGCGAACAGG